UGCAAAUACAUCUCUGUGAUGUAAUUCUUUGGACUAACAAUGUUUGUGGCUGAAGAAAGCUUUAAACCAUCUUUCAUAUCAAUAAUACACUGAUGUAAGAACGGAUUGUUUAUAAAGCUUGAAACACGUGUACCGUGAUAUCCUUUG